rnacentral:rRNA from 1 species
GACGAACGCUGGCGGCGUGCUUAACACAUGCAAGUCGAGCGGUAAGGCCCUUUCGGGGGUACACGAGCGGCGAACGGGUGAGUAACACGUGGGUGACCUGCCCUCAGCUCUGGGAUAAGCCUGGGAAACUGGGUCUAAUACUGGAUAUGACUCCACGGUGCAUGUCGUGGGGUGGAAAGCCUUGUGCGGCUGAGGAUGGGCCCGCGGCCUAUCAGCUUGUUGGUGGGGUGANGGCCUACCAAGGCGACGACGGGUAGCCGGCCUGAGAGGGCGACCGGCCACACUGGGACUGAGACACGGCCCAGACUCCU